GGACAUAGGCUUUUCAUGGCUUUGGGUAGUUAGCUAAUUUUGCUCUCAUUUGUGUAUAUCUAGCAAAUUGUCUCUAAAAAAUUUCACAAAUAACAUUACAAAUAUUUUGUCAAUUUGUAGUAUUUCUUUUAUUUAAAAUAUUUUUUGCAUUUAAAUUAGCGCUUUUAAAUCCGAUCCAAACCUACAGUCAAAUUGGUAACCCG
rnacentral:lncRNA from 1 species